rnacentral:rRNA from 1 species
UACGUAGGGUGCGAGCGUUGAUCGGAAUUACUGGGCGUAAAGCGUGCGCAGGCGGCGCGUUAAGACAGGUGUGAAAGCCCCGAGCUUAACUUGGGAAUUGCGCUUGUGACUGGCGUGCUGGAGUGUGGCAGAGGGAGGUGGAAUUCCACGUAUAGCAGUGAAAUGCGUAGAGAUGUGGAGGAACACCGAUGGCGAAGGCAGCCUCCUGGGCCAGCACUGACGCUCAUGCACGAAAGCGUGGGGAGCAAACAGG